GACGAACGCUGGCGGCGUGCUUAACACAUGCAAGUCGAACGGAAAGGCCCUGCUUUUGUGGGGUGCUCGAGUGGCGAACGGGUGAGUAACACGUGAGUAACCUGUCCUUGACUGUGGGAUAACUUCAGGCAACUGGGUCUAAUACCGGAUAGGAGCUCCUGCUGCAUGGUGGGGGCUGGAAAGUUUCGGCGGUUGGGGAUGGACUCGCGGCCUAUCAGCUUGUUGGUGGGGUAGUGGCUUACCAAGGCUUUGACGGGUAGCCGGCCUGAGAGGGUGACCGGCCACGUUGGGACUGCGAUACGGCCCGGCCUCCUCCGGGAGGCAGCAGUGGGGAAUAUUGCACAAUGGGCGGAAGCCUGAUGCAGCAACGCCGCGUGCGGGAUGACGGCCUUCGGGUUGUAAACCGCUUUCGCCUGUGACGAAGCGUGAGUGACGGUAAUGGGUAAAGAAGCACCGGCUAACUACGUG
rnacentral:rRNA from 1 species